rnacentral:rRNA from 1 species
CAAAAGCGUAUAUUAAAGUUGUUGCAGUUAAAAAGCUCGUAGUUGAACCUUGGGCUUGGCUGGCCGGUCCAUCUUUUUUGAUGCGUACUGGACCCAGCCGAGCCUUUCCUUCUGGCUAGCCUUUUGGCGAACCAGGACUUUUACUUUGAAAAAAUUAGAGUGUUCAAAGCAGGCCUUUGCUCGAAUAUAUUAGCAUGGAAUAAUAGAAUAGGACGUUAUGGUUCUAUUUUGUUGGUUUCUAGGACCAUCGUAAUGAUUAAUAGGGACGGUCGGGGUAUCAGUAUUCAGUUGUCAGAGGUGAAAUUCUUGGAUUUACUGAAGACUAACUACUGCGAAAGCAUUUACCAAGGACGUUUUCAUUAA